rnacentral:rRNA from 1 species
GUAAAUGUGGAGCCGUAGCGAAAGCGAGUCUGAAUAGGGCGUUUAGUAUUUGGUCGUAGACCCGAAACCAGGUGAUCUACCCUUGGUCAGGUUGAAGUUCAGGUAACACUGAAUGGAGGACCGAACCGACUUACGUUGAAAAGUGAGCGGAUGAACUGAGGGUAGCGGAGAAAUUCCAAUCGAACCUGGAGAUAGCUGGUUCUCUCCGAAAUAGCUUUAGGGCUAGCCUCAAGUGAUGAUUAUUGGAGGUAGAGCACUGUUUGGACGAGGGGCCCCUCUCGGGUUACCGAAUUCAGACAAACUCCGAAUGCCAAUUAAUUUAACUUGGGAGUCAGAACAUGGGUGAUAAGGUCCGUGUUCGAAAGGGAAACAGCCCAGACCACCAGCUAAGGUCCCAAAAUAUAUGUUAAGUGGAAAAGGAUGUGGCGUUGCCCAGACAACUAGGAUGUUGGCUUAGAAGCAGCCAUCAUUUAAAGAGUGCGUAAUAGCUCACUAGUCGAGUGACACUGCGCCGAAAAUGUACCGGGGCUAAACAUAUUACCGAAGCUGUGGAUUGUCCUUUGGACAAUGGUAGGAGAGCGUUCUAAGGGCGUUGAAGCAUGAUCGUAAGGACAUGUGGAGCGCUUAGAAGUGAGAAUGCCGGUGUGAGUAGCGAAAGACGGGUGAGAAUCCCGUCCACCGAUUGACUAAGGUUUCCAGAGGAAGGCUCGUCCGCUCUGGGUUAGUCGGGUCCUAA